UUGAGUGUUUUCCUCAAAUGCCCGGACGGUGAAAGACUCUUGGGAACUCUGCAUAACGCAAGAGGCAAAGGGAAGGAGACUCAGUAUGACUAAGAUUGAUUUCACUUUUGGUAGCCCAGUAGGAUAGGGGCUCCGAGAUGGGUUGAGCCUAAUUCAGGAGUGACAUGACAGUUUCUGCAUAAAGUUCAUGCACAUGAUACAGAGAUGAACAGCACAUGCCCCCCAGCUCUCCGGGGACUGGCAGUCUAGUGGAAAACUGCCCGGGCCCCCACAUUAUUUCUUGAGAACAUUCUGAGGAAUUUUGUACCCUGGUGAUCCUUUAUUUGAUGUUGUCUCUACAAGUUCGCAAAGUUGCUACAGCCCAUUGUGCAGAUAAAAAAACGAAACUCGAGUAAUUUAGUGACUUUCUUAUAGCCUAAUAGUAUCCGAUUCAGCUGGGCAAAGUGGCUCACAGCUGUAAUCCCGGCACUUUGGGAGGCCAAGGCAGACACAUCACCUGAGCUCAGGAGUUCGAGACCAGCCUGGCCAACAUGGCGAAACCCCCUCUCUACUAAAAAUAUAAAAGUGAGCCUGGUGUGGUGGCAGGCACCUGUAAUCCCAGCUACUCGGGAGGCUGAGGCAGGGGGAAUCGCUUAAACCCGGGAGGCGGAGGUUGCAUGCAGUGAGCCGAGAUCGCACCAAUGCACUCCAGCCUGGAUGACAGAGUGAGACUCUGUCUCAAACCAAAAAAAAAGCAAGUACCAUUACCUCAGAACAGCAUACAAGAACACUUCCAGGCCGGGCGCGGCGGCUCACGCCUGUAAUCCCAGCACUUUGGGAGGCUGAGGUGGACGGAUUGCUUAAACCCAGGAGUUCGAGACCAGCCUGGGAAACAUGGUGAAACUCCAUCUCCACAAAAAAUACAAAAAUUAGCCAAACGCGGUGGUGCACGCCUGUGGUGCUAGCGACUCGGGAGGCUGAAGCAGGAGGAUCCCUGGAGCCCAGGAUGCUGAGCAGGCCGGCUACCUCCAGUCCAGCACAGUGAACUGGUGCUACAAGGGCCAACCCAGGCUCUGCCCCAAAGCAGGAGCUGAGACCGUUUCCUAGAAGGCAGGCCCACUGGAAAUGUCUCCACCAAAAGCAGCUACAAACGAAUAUGACCUUCAGGUAUUAAGGCUUUGGUUCUCUAGAAAACUGUCACGGCACUGAGGUAACUUGACAACCCAUAAUCGCUGUUCUCCAUGUAAACUGUGGCUCUAUUUGUCCAAGGUGAAGUAUCGUAAAUUGAAAUGAAGUACUCAAUUGUAAAUUUUUUUUUUAAAUUUCCAAAUUAAGCUAAAUUAAAAAAACAAAAAUUGCCAAAACCUUAACCUACAAAAUAAACUUUUUGGACAGUAGCCACCUGAGCUCUAAAUAAUUGUAUCAUUUAUAUUUCAAAUCUAAUACACUGGUGA
rnacentral:lncRNA from 10 species